CCUACGGGGGGCAGCAGUGGGGAAUAUUGGACAAUGGGCGUAAGCCUGAUCCAGCCAUGCCGCGUGUGUGAAGAAGGCCUUCGGGUUGUAAAGCACUUUCAGUGGGGAAGAAAGCCUUGGGGCUAAUACCCUCGAGGAAGGACAUCACCCACAGAAGAAGCACCGGCUAACUCCGUGCCAGCAGCCGCGGUAAUACGGAGGGUGCGAGCGUUAAUCGGAAUUACUGGGCGUAAAGCGCGCGUAGGCGGUCUGAUAAGCCGGUUGUGAAAGCCCCGGGCUCAACCUGGGAACGGCAUCCGGAACUGUCAGGCUAGAGUGCAGGAGAGGAAGGUAGAAUUCCCGGUGUAGCGGUGAAAUGCGUAGAGAUCGGGAGGAAUACCAGUGGCGAAGGCGGCCUUCUGGACUGACACUGACGCUGAGGUGCGAAAGCGUGGGUAGCAAACAGGAUUAGAUACCCCUGUAGUC
rnacentral:rRNA from 1 species